rnacentral:rRNA from 1 species
UAAGCAUAUCAAUAAGCGGAGGAAAAGAAACCAACAGGGAUUGCCCUAGUAACGGCGAGUGAAGCGGCAACAGCUCAAAUUUGAAAUCUGGCGCAAGCCCGAGUUGUAAUUUGUAGAGGAUGCUUCUGGGUAGCGACCGAUCUAAGUUCCUUGGAACAGGACGUCAUAGAGGGUGAGAAUCCCGUAUGUGACCGGCCCGCACCCUUUACGUAGCUCCUUCGACGAGUCGAGUUGUUUGGGAAUGCAGCUCUAAAUGGGAGGUAAAUUUCUUCUAAAGCUAAAUACCGGCCAGAGACCGAUAGCGCACAAGUAGAGUGAUCGAAAGAUGAAAAGUACUUUGGAAAGAGAGUUAAAAAGCACGUGAAAUUGUUGAAAGGGAAGCGCCUGCAACCAGACUUCGCGGCAGUGUUCCGCCGGUCUUCUGACCGGUUCAUUCUCUGUCGCGAGGCCAUCAUCGUCUGGGCCCGCCGGAUAAGACCUUAGGAAUGUAGCUCACCUUCGGGGGAGUGUUAUAGCCUAGGGUGAUGCGGCGAGGCUCGGGCGAGGUCCGCGCUUCGGCAAGGAUGAUGGCGUAAUGGUUGUCGGCGGCCCGUCUUGAAACACGGACCAAGGAGUCUAACAUCUAUGCGAGUGUUCGGGUGUCAAACCCCUACGCGUAAUGAAAGUGAACGGAGGUGGGAACCGCAAGGUGCACCAUCGACCGAUCCUGAUGUCCUCGGAUGGAUUUGAGUAAGAGCAUAGCUGUUGGGACCCGAAAGAUGGUGAACUAUGCCUGAAUAGGGUGAAGCCAGAGGAAACUCUGGUGGAGGCUCGCAGCGGUUCUGACGUGCAAAUCGAUCGUCAAAUUUGGGUAUAGGGGCGAAAGACUAAUCGAACCAUCUAGUAGCUGGUUCCUGCCGAAGUU